UGUAACGGACCCUGCUCUAUGGUGCACUCAUAACAGGUGAUGGGGAACAAACCAUCGGUAAAA
ncrna:unclassified sequences freshwater-1 RNA